UAUCUCUGUAGAGUCUGCAUAUCAAUAAGCGGAGGAAAAGAAACUAACAAGGAUUCCCCUAGUAACGGCGAGUGAAGCGGGAAGAGCUCAAAUUUGAAAUCUUCAAGGUUUUACCUUGACGAAUUGUAGUUUAAAGAAGUGUUUUCGGUUAGAGGAGUAGUAAAAGUUCUUUGGAAUAGGACAUCAUAGAGGGUGAGAAUCCCGUAUUUGACUAUUCUUUCUAGCUUUGUGAUACACUUUCAAAGAGUCGGAUUGUUUGGGAAUGCAGCCCAAAAUGGGUGGUAAAUUUCAUCUAAAGCUAAAUAUUGGCGAGAGACCGAUAGCGAACAAGUACCGUGAGGGAAAGAUGAAAAGAACUUUGAAAAGAGAGUUAAACAGUACGUGAAAUUGUCAAAAGGGAAGCGUUUGACACCAGUGUUGUUUUCUCGAAAAUCAAUUAAAAAUGGCUUGAUUUUGUGUUGUAUUGACCUUAAAAGCUUUCUUCACUUUUUUCAUGUCUUUUUUAAUGCACUUUUCGUUUAACAAGUCAACAUCAGUUUCUUUUGUUGUAAAAAGGUCAUUGGAAGGUGGCUUUCUUUUCGGAGAAAGUGUUUAUGGCCCUUGACUCCUGCAAUCGGAGAGACUGAGGUCUGCAGCGUAGAUCCUUCUGGAUUAGAUUCACUUGUGCUAAGUUAUAGCUUUUCAUAGACAACUUGUUGACUAUGUUUAGUCUUGUAGCUUACUCGCUUGUGUAAUUUUACCUACGCUUAGGAUGUUGAUGUGAUACUGCGAGCA
rnacentral:rRNA from 1 species